rnacentral:lncRNA from 1 species
UCAUUAGGACCAAAAGUAGUGGACGGAGGACCACCCUAAAAUAUAUCAUCUUCUUUUAAGUGCACCAAAUGAUUGUCCCUUGAUGUACCUAAUAAUUUCCCCAUGAGAUAGAUGCAUAUCAAAUAGCACCAAAUAAUUUCUCUCUCCAUGCAUGUAUAGAUCCGUAGAGCACCAAAUAAUUUCUCCCUCAUUCUACGUGUAUAGAUCUAUAAGAGAAAAUCAAGGGUUGUGACGGUGUAGAACAUACCAUCUCUUUGCUUC